rnacentral:rRNA from 1 species
UACCUCGCAAGAGGAGCCUGGAGACAGGUGCUGCAUGGCUGUCGUCAGCUCGUGUCGUGAGAUGUUGGGUUAAGUCCCGCAACGAGCGCAACCCUGUCUUUAGUUGCCAUCAUUCAGUUGGGCACUCUAAAGAGACUGCCGGUGUCAAACCGGAGGAAGGUGGGGAUGACGUCAAGUCCUCAUGGCCUUUAUGACCAGGGCUACACACGUACUACAAUGGCCGGUACAAAGGGCAGCCACUUAGCGAUAAGGAGCCAAUCCCGUAAAGCCGGUCUCAGUCCGGAUUGGAGUCUGCAACUCGACUCCAUGAAGUUGGAAUCGCUAGUAAUCGCAGAUCAGCACGCUGCGGUGAAUACGUUCCCGGGCCUU